rnacentral:rRNA from 1 species
GGAGCGUUGUAUGUAGGUAGAAGGUAUACCGUAAGGAGUGCUGGACAGCAUACAAGUGAGAAUGCCGGUAUAAGUAACGAAAAGACAAGUGAGAAUCUUGUCCGCCGAAAGCCCAAGGUUUCCUGAGGAAGGCUCGUCCGCUCAGGGUAAGUCGGGACCUAAGGUGAGGCCGAAAGGCGUAAUCGAAGGACAACAGGUUGAAAUUCCUGUACCACCGUAAACCGCUAUGAGCAAUUGGGGUGACGCAGAAGGGAACAGUUGCAGACUGAUGGAUAGGUCUGUUCAAGCAGUAAGGCUGGUGUGUAGGCAAAUCCGCACACCGUAUAAGGCUGAGCUGUGAUGAGGAGGGAACAUUGUAGUACCGAAGAACUCGCACUCAUGCUGCCAAGAAAAGCCUCUAGCCAGGUGAAGGUGCCCGUACCGCAAACCGACACAGGUAGGCGAGAAGAGAAUUCUAAGGCGCGCGGAAGAACUCUCGUUAAGGAACUCGGCAAAAUGACCCCGUAACUUCGGGAGAAGGGGUGCUCCGUUAGGGUUUAUAGCCCGAGGGAGCCGCAGUGAAAAGGCCCAAGCGACUGUUUAGCAAAAACACAGGUCUGUGCGAAGCCGUAAGGCGAAGUAUACGGGCUGACGCCUGCCCGGUGCUGGAAGGUUAAGGGGAAUGGUUAGUCCUUAAGGGCGAAGCUAUGAACCGAAGCCCCAGUAAACGGCGGCCGUAACUAUAACGGUCCUAAGGUAGCGAAAUUCCUUGUCAGGUAAAUUCUGACCCGCACGAAUGGCGUAACGAUUUGGGCGCUGUCUCAACGAGAGAUCCGGUGAAAUUUUAAUACCAGUGAAGAUGCUGGUUACCCGCGACAAGACGGAAAGACCCCAUGGAGCUUUACUACAACCUGAUAUUGAACUGGGGUACGAUUUGUACAGGAUAGGUGGGAGCCUUGGAAGCUGGUGCGCAAGCAUCGGUGGAGGCGCCCUUGGGAUACCACCCUGAUCGUAUUCGAGUUCUAACCUAGGCCCUUGAAUCAGGGUCGGGGACCGUGUCAGGCGGGUAGUUUGACUGGGGCGGUCGCCUCCUAAAGCGUAACGGAGGCGCCCUAAGGUUCCCUCAGAAUGGUUGGAAAUCAUUCGCAGAGUGCAAAGGCAAAAGGGAGCUUGACUGCAAGACGUACAGGUCGAGCAGGGACGAAAGUCGGGCUUAGUGAUCCGGUGGUACCGAAUGGAAGGGCCAUCGCUCAACGGAUAAAAGCUACCCUGGGGAUAACAGGCUUAUCUCCCCCAAGAGUCCACAUCGACGGGGAGGUUUGGCACCUCGAUGUCGGCUCAUCGCAUCCUGGGGCUGAAGUAGGUCCCAAGGGUUGGGCUGUUCGCCCAUUAAAGCGGUACGCGAGCUGGGUUCAGAACGUCGUGAGACAGUUCGGUCCCUAUCUGUCGUGGGCGUAGGAAAUUUGAGAGGAGCUGUCCUUAGUACGAGAGGACCGGGAUGGACGUACCGCUGGUGUACCAGUUGUUUCGCCAGAAGCAUAGCUGGGUAGCCAAGUACGGAAGGGAUAAGCGCUGAAAGCAUCUAAGCGUGAAGCCCCCCUCAAGAUGAGAUUUCCCAAUUUAGUAAGACCCCUUGAAGACGACGAGGUUGAUAGGUUCGGGGUGGAAGUGCAGCAAUGCAUGGAGC